rnacentral:rRNA from 1 species
AUUGAACGCUGGCGGCAGGCCUAACACAUGCAAGUCGAACGAGUGGCGGACGGGUGAGUAAUGUCUGGGAAACUGCCUGAUGGAGGGGGAUAACUACUGGAAACGGUAGCUAAUACCGCAUACCAUCGGAUGUGCCCUGAUGGGAUUAGCUAGUAGGUGGGGUAAAGGCUCACCUAGGCGACGAUCCCUAGCUGGUCUGAGAGGGUGACCCGCCACACUGGGACUGAGACACGGGCCAGACUCCUACGGGAGGCAGCAGUGGGGAAUAUUGGACAAUGGGCGCAAGCCGGAUGCAGCCAUGCCGCGUGUGUGAAGAAGGCCUUCGGGUUGUAAAGCACUUUCAGCGGGGAGGCGGUACCCGAAGAAGAAGCAACGGCUAACUCCGUGCCAGCCGCCGCGGUAAUAC